rnacentral:rRNA from 1 species
AUUGAACGCUGGCGGCAUGCCUUACACAUGCAAGUCGAACGGCAGCACGGGUGCUUGCACCUGGUGGCGAGUGGCGAACGGGUGAGUAAUAUAUCGGAACGUACCUUAUUGUGGGGGAUAACGCAGCGAAAGCUGUGCUAAUACCGCAUAAUCCCUAAGGGGGAAAGCGGGGGACCGUAAGGCCUCGCGCAAUUAGAGCGGCCGAUACCUGAUUAGCUAGUUGGUGAGGUAAAGGCUCACCAAGGCAACGAUCAGUAGCUGGUCUGAGAGGACGGACAGCCACACUGGGGCUGAGACACGGCCCAGACUCCUACGGGAGGCAGCAGUGGGGAAUUUUGGACAAUGGGGGCAACCCUGAUCCAGCAAUGCCGCGUGAGUGAAGAAGGCCUUCGGGUUGUAAAGCUCUUUUGUCAGGGAAGAAACAGCAGCUCUAACACAGUUUGCGAAUGACGGUACCUGAAGAAUAAGCACCGGCUAACUACGUGCCAGCAGCCGCAGUAA